rnacentral:pre_miRNA from 1 species
AGAAAUGAUAAUAUGAAACUGAGAUACCAUGUCAUUUGUAUCAUUUUCUAAUAAUUUGAUAUUAUUUCAGCAUUUUCAUCUUAAAUUUCAACACAUCAUGUUGAAUUUGAUUUUUUUUAAGGAUGAAAAUGUUAAAAUAACAUUAAUUUAUUGUAAAUAAAUACAAAUAACAUAGUAUCACAGUUCAUAUAAUCUUUUUUUCC